rnacentral:lncRNA from 1 species
UGAUCCUUAACUUUUUUAAAAAAAAUUACAACCGACCGUCCCUAGCGCAAGUGACAAAAAAACUUGAUGGUUGGUACUCGAGACCCAAGUUCGAAUCCUAGUUGAUUCACAUUUCCAGCUAAGUUUAUUUAUAAAUAAAAUAAACGAAACGGGUAGCAUGCUAUCUUUCUCUCAAAAAUAAAAAAUAAAAAAUUACCUAGAGGUCUAUAUUUAUGAUGUAACAAAACUUACAGUGUUAUAAAUUUUAGAUGCCAAAAUGAAUUUUUAUUUUUUUUUUGUAAAUUAAAAGCUUACAGGCUAGGGACGAUCAGUUCACGAACCAAUUUGUUUUUUGUUUUUUUUUUUUUAGAGAUAGGUAGUAUGCUAUUCGCUUUCUUUAUUUCAUUUAGAAAUAAAUUUAGCUAGAAAUGUGAAUCAAUUAGGAUUUAAAUUUGAGACCAAUUUGUUAGCGACGAACAAUGCUUAUUCUACCCCUUUUUUUUGGCCUCAGCAUUAACUCACAAAUAAGACUCGGGGCAAGUGCCCAAAUUACCAAAGUGAUUCUAUUUACUCUUUCUUUUUCUUUUUUUUUCUUUUUCUUUUUUUUUUUUUUUCUGAGAGAGAGUAGUAGUAAGCUGCUGUUUCCUUUUUGUUAGAAAAAAAUUUAGCUGAAAAUAUAAAAUUAGAUUUAAACUUGAAAUUUUGAAUAUUAAUCAUUAAUUUUUAUCACUUCAGUCAACUUUUAUAUGUUGCCUUACAAAAGUCAUAAUAUUUUUAAAUAUAUUAUUCUGAUUUGUUACCGUUAAAAUACUAUUUAUUUUAUAAAUAAAAUAACCUUUUUAUCAUUAUAAAUACGUCUCUCCAAAAAUUUCAACUAUUAAUUAAAGAAGUAAAAAUAUCGAUUCAUCUCAUUAAGUAACUAGGGUUAAAUAUUUUACCGAUGGUUAACUAAUUUUUUCUAACAGAUCCUAACGGCAGAAACAUAUUUGAAAAUUUCAGAAUUUUCAUAGAAAUAACAUAUGAAAAUUAAACUUUAUAAGGAUAAAUUUAUAAUUUAUUAUGUUUGUAGGGAUACGUACGAAAUU